rnacentral:rRNA from 1 species
GAUGAACGCUGGCGGCGUGCCUAAUACAUGCAAGUCGAACGAAACUUCUUUAUCACCGAGUGCUUGCACUCACCGAUAAAGAGUUGAGUGGCGAACGGGUGAGUAACACGUGGGCAACCUGCCCAAAGGAGGGGGAUAACACUUGGAAACAGGUGCUAAUACCGCAUAACCAUAGUUACCGCAUGGUAACUAUGUAAAAGGUGGCUAUACUACCGCUUUUGGAUGGGCCCGCGGCGCAUUAGCUAGUUGGUAGGGUAAAGGCUUACCAAGGCAAUGAUGCGUAGCCGAAUUGAGAGGUUGAUCGGCCACAUUGGGACUGAGACACGGCCCCAACUCCUACGGGAGGCAGCAGUAGGGAAUCUUCCACAAUGGGCGAAAGCCUGAUGGAGCAACGCCGCGUGGGUGAAGAAGGUCUUCGGAUCGUAAAACCCUGUUGUUAGAGAAGAAAGUGCGUGAGAGUAACUGUUCACGUUUCGACGGUAUCUAACCAGAAAGCCACGGCUAACUACGUG